CCUACGGGAGGCAGCAGUGGGGGAUAUUGGACAAUGGGGGGAACCCUGAUCCAGCGACGCCGCGUGAGUGAAGAAGUAUUUCGGUAUGUAAAGCUCUGUCAGCAGGGAAGAAAGAAAUGCCGGUACCUGACCAAGAAGUCCCGGCUAAAUACGGGCCAGCAGCCGCGGUAAUACGUAGGGGGCAAGCGUUAUCCGGAAUUACUGGGGGUAAAGGGAGCGUAGACGGUUAAGUAAGUCUGGAGUGAAAGGCCGGGGCCCAACCCCGGGACUGCUCUGGAAACUAGUGAACUAGAGUGCAGGAGAGGUAAGCGGAAUUCCUAGUGUAGCGGUGAAAUGCGUAGAUAUUAGGAGGAACACCAGUGGCGAAGGCGGCUUUCUGGACUGAAACUGACGCUGAGGCUCGAAAGCGUGGGGAGCGAACAGGAUUAGAUACCCUGGUAGUC
rnacentral:rRNA from 1 species